GGGGGCAACCUGAUCCAGCAAUGCCAUGUGUGUGAAGAAGGCCCUAGGGUUGUAAAGCACUUUAGUUGGGGAGGAAAGCCUCAAGGUUAAUAGCCUUGGGGGAGGACGUUACCCAAAGAAUAAGCACCGGCUAACUCCGUGCCAGCAGCCGCGGUAAUACGGGGGGUGCAAGCGUUAAUCGGAAUUACUGGGCGUAAAGGGUCUGUAGGUGGUUUGUUAAGUCAGAUGUGAAAGCCCAGGGCUCAACCUUGGAACUGCAUUUGAU
rnacentral:rRNA from 1 species